GAUGUCCAGCGGCGCUUCUCCUUCUGCUCCAAAGCCUGGUGCCUCCGAGCAAAGACUUCAUCACAGAGAUCCUCAAUCUGUAUACGACACAGAAUGCACUGGAAGACAUGAAGUAUGGCAUUGAAAAAACAGGUCAUCUGGAAUCUUUCAGCACCUACCCAAUACUAACACGUUCAGCAUCCGUCAGUUAUUACAGAGUAUGAGGAUCUAAAUUAAAAAUGAUCUGAGAUCCACAAUGAAGACCAUUGACUGUGUUUUAUCGUGUUCACACUAUGUAUGCAUUUCUGAGUUUAUUCUCAAUAUUUUUAUUUUGUGCCUGCAUAAAAUAACUUAAUUUAAAGACAUGUGACAAUAUGGCCCAUAAUAAGUAACAAAUACACAAAGAAAAACAUUAACUUCUGCUCCAUUCCAACUGACAGACGUUUAGUAGUUUGAUGGGUUUAACU